CCUUAUAAUGAUAACUGAGCUCUCUAUUUAUAGCUAUAUCUAGGGAAGGAAGUCCUAGGAUCAUGCCCUUCUUUAAUGUCAAUUAUGAAGGCCAUUGAUGAAGAUGUAACGUUAGACAUAAAUGCCAAAUUCCUUGCAACGGGCCAUCAUCCUUAAUGCUGCAAAAUAUUCUGUAUUAAAUGUUACCGGGCGCAAAGCAUUUAAUACUCCUUUUAUGAUCGUUAUUCCUUCCGGUGACAAGCAGAAUAGCUAUGUUCGGUGGCCAUCCCCAUCUUGUGUUCCACGUGUCCUUCAUUUAAGCGGCCACACGUCAUGUCGUAUUUUUCCCUAUACAAGUACCAAAAUAAUUAACUUUGUCAAUAUCUUGUAGUGAUCUGUCCAUUACAAAAACUAUUUGUCCUUCUACUUGUGAUAACUCCUACUAGUUUAAUUUCUGCUUGAUAUUAAUGAAAUAGUCAGAAUUACUGGCACAUAUAUACAAAUAAUAUAUAGUUACAAUUGUAAUGAAAUAUAAAAUCGAUACUUAUCUCUUGAACCAUAAUAACGUAACCAGCUUUCACAUACCCCUGAUCUUCUGUUGUGACCAAGUAAUCGCCGGACUUAGUGCUAACGUGGGCAAGUAACUCAAAGCAUUUAUGUUCUCUCUUUUUUUUUUGUUUUUUUUUUAAUGUUUGUUUGAAGUGAGUGGUAAGUUAUUCCUAUAUGUAUGAAGUCAUGUUCUUGCUAGCUGCUGUUAAAGGGACACAUAUAUAUAAGACAAAUAAAUAGGACCGGGGACAAUAAUUACACUUGUUUUAGUCCAAAAAGUUUCGUGCUUAGAGGAUUGUGCCAAGUG
rnacentral:lncRNA from 1 species